rnacentral:rRNA from 1 species
AACGAACGCUGGCGGCAGGCUUGACACAUGCAAGUCGAACGCACCGCAAGGUGAGUGGCAGACGGGUGAGUAACACGUGGGGAUCUGCCCAAUGGUACGGAAUAGCUCCGGGAAACUGGAAUUAAUACCGUAUGUGCCCUUCGGGGGAAAGAUUUAUCGCCAUUGGAUGAACCCGCGUCGGAUUAGCUAGUUGGUGAGGUGAAGGCUCACCAAGGCGACGAUCCGUAGCUGGUCUGAGAGGAUGAUCAGCCACACUGGGACUGAGACACGGCCCAGACUCCUACGGGAGGCAGCAGUGGGGAAUAUUGGACAAUGGGCGCAAGCCUGAUCCAGCCAUGCCGCGUGAGUGAUGAAGGCCUUAGGGUUGUAAAGCUCUUUCGCCGACGAAGAUAAUGACGGUAGUCGGAGAAGAAGCCCCGGCUAACUUCGUGCCAGCCGCCGCCGUAAGAC